UGCAGUCGAGCGGAGUUGAUGGAAAGCUUGCUUUCCUGAGACUUAGCGGCGGACGGGUGAGUAACACGUAGGCAACCUGCCCUCAAGCUUGGGACAACUACCGGAAACGGUAGCUAAUACCGAAUACUUGUUUUCUUCGCCUGAAGGGAACUGGAAAGACGGAGCAAUCUGUCACUUGAGGAUGGGCCUGCGGCGCAUUAGCUAGUUGGUGAGGUAACGGCUCACCAAGGCGACGAUGCGUAGCCGACCUGAGAGGGUGAUCGGCCACACUGGGACUGAGACACGGCCCAGACUCCUACGGGAGGCAGCAGUAGGGAAUCUUCCGCAAUGGGCGAAAGCCUGACGGAGCAAUGCCGCGUGAGUGAUGAAGGUUUUCGGAUCGUAAAGCUCUGUUGCCAGGGAAGAACGCUUGGGAGAGUAACUGCUCUCAAGGUGACGGUACCUGAGAAGAAAGCCCCGGCUAACUACGUGCCAGCAGCCGCGGUAAUACGUAGGGGGCAAGCGUUGUCCGGAAUUAUUGGGCGUAAAGCGCGCGCAGGCGGUCAUGUAAGUCUGGUGUUUAAUCCCGGGGCUCAACCCCGGAUCGCACUGGAAACUGCGUGACUUGAGUGCAGAAGAGGAGAGUGGAAUUCCACGUGUAGCGGUGAAAUGCGUAGAGAUGUGGAGGAACACCAGUGGCGAAGGCGACUCUCUGG
rnacentral:rRNA from 1 species